UACGUAGGGUGCAAGCGUUGUCCGGAAUUAUUGGGCGUAAAGAGCUCGUAGGCGGUUUGUCGCGUCUGCUGUGAAAAUCCAGGGCUUAACCCUGGACCUGCAGUGGGUACGGGCAGACUGGAGUGCGGUAGGGGAGAUCGGAAUUCCUGGUGUAGCGGUGAAAUGCGCAGAUAUCAGGAGGAACACCGGUGGCGAAGGCGGAUCUCUGGGCCGCAACUGACGCUGAGGAGCGAAAGCAUGGGGAGCGAACAGG
rnacentral:rRNA from 1 species